rnacentral:lncRNA from 1 species
GGGACUAGACAUAUACAAACACACAAACACACACAAUGCAAAACAUUUCUAUUUUCUGAUUAGGCUCCUUAAGCUUCUUUCUCUUCUUCUUUUGCCCCCUUUUCUUCCUGCCCCAAAUUCCUUAUAGACUUCAGUUGUGCAUUACAACUACUGAAAGACAUUUUUACUUCUGAUUUUUAAGGUUAGGACAAUAUUUCUCAUCAAAAUAAAGUCCCCCAUUUGAAAAACCAUCAAAGGAGAGAAGUAAACAAGGAGAAAAAAAUACUUAUGAAAGGGUACCGUGAUUGGUAAGGACUUCUUCAUCUUUAACAAGAUGUCUCGAAUUUAAUAUCUUAAAAUAAAGUCCUCUUUGAUUGGGAGCGGUUAAACUCUAAUAGUGGAUUUUUUACCAUGCGAAUCUGAAUUAGUUGAGCCCUUAAGUUUCAAGACAGUAUUUAUGGUACCAUCUCACCAUUUCAAGGCCCAAGUUUCUACUUUUCUUGGUUUAACUUUCAACAUUAUUAAUCCUCUCGAGCCGAGUCUUUCGAAACAGCCACUCUAUAUCACGAUAGGGGUAAGAUUUGUCUACAUAUUGUUCUCCUAAACUAGAUUUGACUGAGUUUGUUGUUGUCGUUGGUUUAACCUUCAACAUUCAUUUGACUCAAAAUGCACCAAAAAAGACAAAAUGAAAGACCCAUUUAAGUUUCUUGAAGAUGGGGAGCUUAAAAAAUCUCAUCUUUUUUUCUUGUCCUAAUACUAUGUAGGACUUUAUUCUGGUGCUGGAAGCUUAAGAAAAAACGAGUGGGGAAAAUUAUCAAACACCUUGUGUGCAAUGCAGGUUCCAGUGGAUUUUGGUACUGUAGAUUUCAAGAAAAUGUUAUUACUUCAACUGCAAAUGCAAAUGCAGACAGUAGGUUUUAUUUCCGGCUACUUUAUGGGUUCAAAAUUUCAACUUUUUCUGCUUGAAAUGGAUUUCUCCAAUUGUUGUUCCAUUUGUUCAUGAUUCCCGGCGGUUGACGGCGGCUCACGGUGGUGGCGGCGGCGAAGGGGGGUGGUUUGUGGUGGUGAUAUUGGCGGGGACGGCUCAAUCUUUCUCUUAAUGGUACCUUUUUGUAUAUAAUUUUGAUCUUGAUUUUAACUUUAAUUUUUCUACAUCGCCUUUUGGUUUUUAUUGUUAUUGUAGAAAAUUUGGAAUUUUAACUAUAUUAUCUUUUUGGCCCAUUUUCAAGAAGAAAAAAAUUAGAAUUAAAUUGGAUUAUGCAGCAUUAGCAAUUUAUUCAUUUUGUUUGUUUUCUAUGCAUAAAAAGGGAAUUAAAA